rnacentral:rRNA from 1 species
AUUGAACGCUGGCGGCAGGCCUAACACAUGCAAGUCGAGCGGAUGAAGGGAGCUUGCUCCUGGCUUCAGCGGCGGACGGGUGAGUAAUGCCUAGGAAUCUGCCUGGUCGUGGGGGCUAACGUCCGGAAACGGGCGCUAAUACCGCAUACGUCCUGAGGGAGAAAGUGGGGGAUCUUUGGACCUCACGCUAUCAGAUGAGCCUAGGUCGGAUUAGCUAGUUGGUGAGGUAAAGGCCUACCAAGGCGACGAUCCGUAACUGGUCUGAGAGGAUGAUCAGUCACACUGGAACUGAGACACGGUCCAGACUCCUACGGGAGGCAGCAGUGGGGAAUAUUGGACAAUGGGCGAAAGCCUGAUCCAGCCAUGCCGCGUGUGUGAAGAAGGUCUUCGGAUUGUAAAGCACUUUAAGUUGGGAGGAAGGGCAGUAAGUUAAUACCUUGCUGUUUUGACGGUACCAACAGAAUAAGCACCGGCUAACUUCGUG